rnacentral:misc_RNA from 1 species
CGAGUUAGGGUCCUCAUAGGGCCCGGACCUCCCAACCCGGUUGGUUUAUGAUACCUAGGUGUUGCUUCGGCAGGCCCUGGUCCUCCUGACCUGCCGGGGGGCCGUGAAACGCCCGCCGGAGAGCGCCCGCCGACAGCCCCAACCUUCAAAAUUCUUAACCAAACGUGUCUUGUCUGAGUAAACGUCUUUAAAAUAAAAGCAAAACUUUCAACAACGGAUCUCUUGGUUCUGGCAUCGA